AAACCGUUCAGGGGUAAACCUGAGAAACCCAAAAGAUCGAAUGGGGAGAUUCAUCGUCAGCUUUAUCGGCUUGCGUGCUGCUCGCGAUGCUCGCUUGUGGGAGCGUGUAACAGCGUUUUCAUUUUAGCGGGCACGCGGUAGCUGCGUAAUUUUGUCCGGUCAGAGUCGGCGUGCACUUCUCCCCUAGUAGGACGUCGCGACCCGUUGGAUGUCGGCCUAAGGCCCGCGAGGUCGACUGCCGGUAUCGGUGCGCAAGCAUUCGAUUUAUCGGCAGACCCGCGGUCGCCCGGCCGACUGUUCGGCGGUAAAAAAUUGUUUGAAAAAUUCAAUGGUAUCGAGCCGCAUGAUAUUUUGAAUGCGUUCUUUUGGCUCGUCGGCAGGCGAGCCUCGCCUCGGAUUUUACGGACCUGGUGCCGUUGUCGAGCGAGUUUUUGCUCGUCGUUUCGCCGACGAUGUCCUCGGACGGGCUCUAUAAAGUUCUCUCUUUCGAGGGAGAGCUUUUGUUACCAGUCAGCGACGCUACUGCUUUGGGUACUUUCAGGACCCGUCUUGAAACACGGACCAAGGAGUCUAACAUGUGCGCGAGUCAUUGGGACUUGUUUAUAAUAAGCCUAAAGGCGCAAUGAAAGUGAAGGUCCGCUCUGAUGCGCGACCGAGGGAGGAUGGCUUCGGGAGAAGUCAAAUUUGACCGGAGCUCGCACUCCCGGGGCGUCUCGUGCUCAUUGCGAGCUGAGGCGCACCCAGAGCGUACACGUUGGGACCCGAAAGAUGGUGAACUAUGCCUGGUCAGGACG
rnacentral:rRNA from 1 species